rnacentral:rRNA from 1 species
UACGUAGGGUCCGAGCGUUGUCCGGAAUUAUUGGGCGUAAAGGGCUCGUAGGCGGUUCGUCACGUCGGGAGUGAAAACUCGGAGCUUAACUCUGAGCCUGCUUCCGAUACGGGCAGACUAGAGGUAGGCAGGGGAGAGCGGAACUCCUGGUGUAGCGGUGGAAUGCGCAGAUAUCAGGAAGAACACCCGUGGCGAAGGCGGCUCUCUGGGACGGUACUGACGCUGAGACGCGAAAGCGUGGGGAGCGAACAGG